rnacentral:rRNA from 1 species
GACGAACGCUGGCGGCGUGCUUAACACAUGCAAGUCGAACGGAAAGGCCCUGCUUUUGUGGGGUGCUCGAGUGGCGAACGGGUGAGUAACACGUGAGUAACCUGCCCUUGACUUUGGGAUAACUUCAGGAAACUGGGGCUAAUACCGGAUAGGAGCUCCUGCUGCAUGGUGGGGGUUGGAAAGUUUCGGCGGUUGGGGAUGGACUCGCGGCUUAUCAGCUUGUUGGUGGGGUAGUGGCUUACCAAGGCUUUGACGGGUAGCCGGCCUGAGAGGGUGACCGGCCACAUUGGGACUGAGAUACGGCCCAGACUCAUACGGGAGGAAGCAGUGGGGAAUAUUGCAAAAUGGGCGGAAGCCUGAUGCAGCAACGCCGCGUGCGGGAUGACGGCCUUCGGGUUGUAAACCGCUUUCGCCUGUGACGAAGCGUGAGUGACGGUAAUGGGUAAAGAAGCACCGGCUAACUACGUG